rnacentral:rRNA from 1 species
UAGAGUAAUGCGUGACCAACCUGCCCCAUGCUCCAGAAUAGCUCUUGGAAACGGGUGGUAAUGCUGGAUGCUCCAACUUGACGCAUGUCUUGUUGGGAAAGUGUUUAGUGGCAUGGGAUGGGGUCGCGUCCUAUCAGCUUGUAGGCGGGGUAAUGGCCCACCUAGGCUUCGACGGGUAGCCGGCCUGAGAGGGCGGACGGCCACAUUGGGACUGAGAUACGGCCCAGACUCCUACGGGAGGCAGCAGGA